rnacentral:rRNA from 1 species
UGCAAGUCGAACGAGAAAUCCUGGGCAACUGGGAGAGUAAAGUGGCGCACGGGUGAGUAGCGCGUGGGUAACCUACCCUUGAACCGGGGAUAACUCCGCGAAAGCGGGGCUAAUACCGGAUAAUAUUCCGAUUUCCAAGGGAGUUGGAAUCAAAGGUGGCCUCUGCAUGCAAGCUACCGUUUAAGGAUGGGCCCGCGUACCAUUAGCUUGUUGGUGGAGUAACGGCCUACCAAGGCAACGAUGGUUAGCUGGUCUGAGAGGAUGGCCAGCCACACUGGAACUGAGACACGGUCCAGACUCCUACGGGAGGCAGCAGUGGGGAAUCUUGCGCAAUGGGGGAAACCCUGACGCAGCAACGCCGCGUGGGUGAUGAAGGCUUUCGGGUCGUAAAGCCCUGUCAGGUGGAAAGAAUUGUGUCGAUGCGAAUAUCAUCGACGCUUGACGGUACCACCGGAGGAAGCACCGGCUAACUCCGUGCCAGCAGCCGCGGUAAUACGGAGGGUGCAAGCGUUGUUCGGAAUUAUUGGGCGUAAAGCGCGUGCAGGCGGUCGGGCAAGUCAGAUGUGAAAGCCUUCCGCUCAACGGAAGAAGUGCAUUUGAAACUGCUCGGCUGGAGUACGGGAGAGGAGAGUGGAAUUCCCGGUGUAGAG